CCUACGGGAGGCAGCAGUAAGGAAUAUUGCGCAAUGGACGAAAGUCUGACGCAGCAACGCCGCGUGCAGGAUGAAGGCCCUUCGGGUCGUAAACUGCUGUAGCAGGGGACUAAUAACCGUCUCGGACGGGAAUGAAGGUACCCUGAAAGUAAGCCACGGCUAACUACGUGCCAGCAGCCGCGGUAAUACGUAGGUGGCAAGCGUUGUCCGGAUUCACUGGGUGUAAAGGGUGCGCAGGCGGAUUUGUAAGUCAGAGGUGAAAUCUCACGGCUUAACCGUGAAACUGCCUUUGAUACUGCAGAUCUUGAGUUCGGGAGAGGUUGAUGGAAUUCCAGGUGUAGCGGUGAAAUGCGUAGAUAUCUGGAAGAACACCAGUGGCGAAGGCGGUCAACUGGCCCGUAACUGACACUCAGGCACGAAAGCGUGGGUAGCAAACAGGAUUAGAUACCCUGGUAGUCCACGCCUUAAACGAUGAAUACUUGGUGUUGGCUCGUAUGAGUCAGUGCCGAAGGUAACCUGUUAAGUAUUCCACCUGGGGAGUACGCUCGCAAGGGUGAAACUCAAAGGAAUUGACGG
rnacentral:rRNA from 1 species